rnacentral:rRNA from 1 species
CAAUAGCGUAUAUUAAAGUUGUUGCGGUUAAAAAGCUCGUAGUUGGAGUUCUGCCAGGUGCCGCCUGUCCGCCCCAGUGGUGAGUACGUGGCGCGCAUUUGGCCCUUUCAAGGGGAGCGUAUCUGCACUUUAUUGUGUGGUGCGGGAUCCUUGACUUUUACUUUGAGGAAAUAGGAGUGUUCCAAGCAGGCUCUCGUCGUGCACAGCUCAGCAUGGAAUAAUAGCAUUGGACCUCGAUUCUAAGCUGUUGGUUGCCAGAAGCGAGGUAAUGAUGAAGAGGGAUAGUUGGGGGCAUUCGUAUUUAACUGUCAGAGGUGAAAUUCUUGGAUUUGUUAAGGACGGACUACUGCGAAAGCAUCUGCCAGGGAUGUUUUCAUUGA